UCUUGAUUAUUUUAUACUAUAAAAUAUUUAACUGUUACUUAAAAGAAAAACUCAAGAG
rnacentral:tRNA from 1 species